UAUCUCUGUAGAGUCUGCAUAUCAAUAAGCGGAGGAAAAGAAACUAACAAGGAUUCCCCUGGUAACGGCGAGUGAAGCGGGAAGAGCUCAAAUUUGAAAUCUUCAAGGUUUGACCUUGACGAAUUGUAGUUUAAAGAAGUGUUUUCGGUUAGAGGAGUAGUAAAAGUUCUUUGGAAUAGGACAUCAUAGAGGGUGAGAAUCCCGUAUUUGACUAUUCUUUCUAGCUUUGUGAUACACUUUCAAAGAGUCGGAUUGUUUGGGAAUGCAGUCCAAAAUGGGUGGUAAAUUUCAUCUAAAGCUAAAUAUUGGCGAGAGACCGAUAGCGUACAAGUACCGUGAGGGAAAGAUGAAAAGAACUUUGAAAAGAGAGUUAAACAGUACGUGAAAUUGUCAAAAGGGAAGCGUUUGACACCAGUGUUGUUUUUCCGAAAAUCAAUUAAAAAUUGAUUCAUGCCAGGUUGUAUUGACCUUAUCAGCUUGCAAUUUGGUUUUGGGUCUCUUUUUGAUGCACUUUUCGGUUAACAAGUCAACAUCAAUUUCCUUUGCUGUAAAAAGGUAAGAGGAAGGUGGCUUCAAUUUCGGUUGAAGUGUUUAUAGCCUUUUAUCUCUGCAGUCGGGGAGAUUGAGGUCUGCAGCGUAGAUCCUUCGGGGCUAGAUACAUUUAUGCUAAGUUAUAGCUUUUCAUAGACAACUUGUUGACUAUGUUUAGUCAUGUAGCUUACUCGUAGUGCUAUUUUACCUACGCUUAGGAUGUUGAAGACUCUACAGAGAUA
rnacentral:rRNA from 1 species